UGUACAUGAAGGAUGAUGACUGCCCCAGGCUUUUUGGGAUUAGUAAAAAAUGUAAGGAACCCAGAGAGUACUUCCUAUCUAGGAGAUGCUCGAUGAAGGGGGCCUAUGAUUAGCUUUCCUUUCUUUAGCUUAAAUAAUCUUGCUAGCACUUGAGGUGUAUGCCUGAAAUCACUAUUACAAAUUUUAUUAUUCCCGAUUUUUUUUUUUUUAACGUGUGUUAAUUGAUUAGCUCAAGUGCAAAGUGGAGGCUGAAUCCAGGUUUUCUGACUCCGUUUCACACUGCCCUAUCUUCAAGACUCUAAAUCUAUCUGCUACCCCACCUAAGACCUCCAAACUGAAUGCCCUUAUGUGAGUUCAGCUGACACUAAUUCUCCAAAUGACAGAAAUUCACAAACUAUCAACAGAAACCAGUCCCAAUUGACUCAGUCCAUGACAGUCCUGCCCUGCUUAUGGAUAUUUCUCUCGUUGACACUUACCAUUUUAGCAAUUUCUGGAUAGAAAGGAGGAGGACAGGAUUUUGCUCUUUGCACUAACUGGUGAUCUUGUAACACCACAAAAUCUACAGAGUGCCAGCUAUACUUAAGCCACUGGGUAGACAAAGAUGAAGAAAGCUAUCUGGACAAUCUACCCAGAAGUUAGAUUUAUAAUUCUCAGUGAUGGUGAUAAGAUAUCCCAAUAUCCCAAUUGCUAGCCUGGGAUAUGAAAAGACAAACUCUGCCUUUGGUGGCUAGGCCUCCGUAAGCUUUAUCUCACUAUCCUCUGGGAAGGCAGCAAAGGAGGAGGGUCUGUGUAAUGUUGGUGUUCUUCAAGAACUACGCAUUUAUAAACCUGCCUGCUUUACAGGUCCUUUCAGGCACUAUCGUCUUUAGACAUUUCAGUGAAGGUUUUCUUAUUCACAGUUCAGCACAAGUACAUGUUUUUUACAUUUGAUGUUUCUCUCCUUUCUUAAAGAUCAAUGGUUUUUAAAUCAGCAUUUAUAAAAUUCACUCUGUUCCCUCCUUAUAAAAAAAUGAUAUUUAAACAAAGAAUAGCACUCAUUUUUCUCUAUACCCUUACCCCGAUGUCACCUAUAAUGCAGUCUGUGGUUUCUGGAAGCUGUAUGUUGUUUAGUGGUCAGAACACAACACAGGGUAUAAAUUCUGAGUCUGUUUCGCCACUGAAAUCUGUAAAAUAGAGGGAAUUGUCACAA